UUGAACCCGGGAGGCGGAGGUUGCAGUGAGCCGAGAUUGCGCCAUUGCACUCCAGCCUGGGCGACAGAGUGAGACUCUGUCUCAGAAAAAAAAAAUUUAAAAAGGGAGGUGCUCAGUCAAGUCUCUGAGAGGAGUGGGUGGCGGGGCGAGGAGUCCCUUGCUCAGGGCCCCCUAGGGACUGGGACCCAUUGACUCUGAGUUGCUUUUGAGGCUGCAUCAGGUACCAGCGGCCUGGGGGUCGUACAGGAUGGGAGAGGCCGGGACUUGGGAUGUUGCCAGAUCUACGUUAAAAAGUGAAGCAGGAAGCGGGGCACCGAGGCUGGGCACAUGGGGAAAACCGCGGAGAGCCGGACUUUGGGGACUGGAAGAGUGGGAACAGUGGCUGACAAAUGUGAACAUGUAUGGACACAAAGCUGAGGUGACAGGAUGGGGAUGGGGCCUUGGAACAGCACCAAGAAUCCUGGUUGAACCCUCCAAGUGAAAAGAUCCUGCCACAACAUAUGUGAACCAGGGUUAUCACCGAGUGGGACUGGUGGCUCCUUUAGAAGAGGAAGGAAGAGCGGAGCUGGCACGUGAGCAUGCUCAGCCCCCUGGCCGUGUGACACCUGGACCAUCCUCAGGACUCUGCAGAGUCCCCACCAGCAAGAAGGUCGUCAUCAGAUGCAGCCACUGAACCUUGGACCUCUCAGCCCCCAGGGCUAUAACAAAUACAUUCUUUUUUAAAGUCAA